GUCGAUGUGCAACACCCAAGUAGACCCGGGGUCAGGUUCGGAGAUUGCAACUUCUCCGGGGCUCCCGCCUUCCGAUCCUUGGUCGGUUGUUGGGCACUCCGCAAUAAAGUCGGCCAAGACCUGGGCUUUCAAGGCUGGUCGUAGUCGGUACUGAAUGUCAAACUCACUCAGCUUCAUUGCCCAUUUCGCCAGUCGUUCUGAUGUGUCGGGGUGGUGCAAGAUCGCCCUCAGGGGC
rnacentral:lncRNA from 1 species